UUAUUAUACAUAUUAUAUUAUAGACGCACGUGUCAUCUUUCAUUCGUUUCUUUAUUUAGUAUUUUGUUAUUUAAUUUAAAUUAAAAUAACCUUGGGAAAUAAAUGAGCAGAUUUUUUUUUUAUUGUUACUAUAACAAUAUAAUACAUUUUAUCCUCCAUAAUAAUCCUUUCCCAAAGUACCUAAGAGUAAUAAGUAAUUUUUUUGAAGAGAUUAGAGAUUUUUCACAGUAUUAUUUUCCUUAUAAAAAUCAGGCAAGUGAUAGGUACCUAAUAAAUCUGUUGAGCAAUUAAAAAAAUUUAUAAAAAAGAGAUAAGUUGUGAGGUAAGUAUAAGGGAGGAUCCCUCCUCUAACAAUCCCCUUUCCAUACCAUAUUAAAUUGUUUUAUUUCACUUUACAUAGUAAAAUAGUUUAUAUUGAACAUUUUAAACACAUUAUUUAACAACAAAUUUUUUAAUCUAUAUCACUAUCACUCACUCAUUGCUAUUUGUACUUUAAAGUUUACUGUAAUACUAUAAAUAGUAUUUAUAAUCAAUGCCUUAAUAGGUUAUAUAUAUCAUGAAGAUAUAAUUAAUUUUUUUCAAAUAAGAGCGUUAUAUGGAUUAUCAGGAUACGACUAUAAGAGAGUAAACUAAUAUGGCUACUGAUGCAAUUAUGACAUUAUAAAUGUCUUAUAUUAAUUUAUUAAGGCUGUAAAAGCUGGUUGUUUUUAACUGAAAGAACAAAUAUACUUCCGGAGGUCUAAUUUUAAUUUUGAAAAAAAAAUAUUUGAAUUUUUUCACUUCUUGUCUGUGUUUUGAAAGAAAAUUAAUUUGAUACUAUCCUGUCUUUACUAAUUAAACAAUACAAUAAAUCGCAAUGUCUUGUAGCUCAAAAUGGUCUUCCACAUGCUCUAGAUCUUAUAUUUAAACUGUUCUUGUUAGGAACUUCCUAAAGCUCAUUCCUACUUUUCCUACCUACUGUUAGAUAUUCCCUUGAAAUUGUUGACAGAGAACUUGUCUGAAUGAGAAUACUUAUUCAAAAAAAUUAUUAUAAUUAAUAGAUGUCAAGUGUCAUGACUCAUGAUCCAUGCUUUUUUCCAAAAAUAAAGAUUUAUAGUAGAAUAACUAUUAUCCUAACUUCAAUAAUGUAUAGUAUGACUCGUAGGUGUGCUUGAUAUUCCAUAUAUAGUUAAUUAGUGUGCACUAGUUGAAUAACUCGGCUUCGCCCACGUGCGGUUUCAACCUGAUCUACCCGAGUAACCAAUUUUUCUACCAUUUAUAUAUUUUUUUCUACAGUUGGAAUUUGCAAUCCUAUGGAGCAAGACAAAAAAGAUUUCCAUUCCUCAAAAUAAUACUGAUAUAUAUGGUUGCUUAAAUUAUUGUGCUUAGAAAUUUGAUGAGAGUGUGCAAAAUAUGACAUAAACGACCUAAUUUUUAAUCAAUUAUAGAUUGAUUCUACUGGACGACACAAAGAAGUAAAGAAGUAUAGCAUAUGAAUAAAGUAACUUUCAAAAAUAGAGCAAUUGAAACAUAAAACUAUCCCAAUAUAAUGAUUGUUGUGACUUGAAGUCCUAUGAAAAAAUCACAAAUGUCGUCUAUUUAUCAAAAAAACGUACUGGUUGUAUGCUGCCUGGAAGAUUAUCUCCUACAAAUUUGAAUUGUUGUAAAUUGCAAAAUAGUUCUCAUGAUUAAUGCAAAUUGUUCUUUCCAAUGCAAAUAGACCCAGUAUAUUUCACGGUAGUCUAAAAUUUGAAUUAGGUAUUAUAAUAAUUAUUAUUUUCUCACACAAAUGUUGUUAGCUAACCAAUCAACAAAUUGUUUUUUAUUUAGAAAAAUAAAUGU